CGCGAGUGGCGGACGGGUGAGUAACGCGUGAGUAAUCUGCCUCAUACAGGAGAAUAACACUAAGAAAUUGGUGCUAAUACUCCAUAAGCUCACAUUAUGACAUCAUAGAGUGAGAAAAGAUUUAUCGGUAUGAGAGGAGCUCGCGUCUGAUUAGCUAGUUGGUGGGGUAACGGCCUACCAAGGCAACGAUCAGUAGCCGACCUGAGAGGGUGAUCGGCCACAUUGGAACUGAGACACGGUCCAAACUCCUACGGGAGGCAGCAGUGGGGAAUAUUGCACAAUGGGGGAAACCCUGAUGCAGCAACGCCGCGUGAAGGAAGAAGUAUUUCGGUAUGUAAACUUCUAUCGACAGGGGAGAAACAAAUGACGGUACCUGAAUAAGAAGCACCGGCUAAAUACGUGCCAGCAGCCGCGGUAAUACGUAUGGUGCAAGCGUUAUCCGGAUUUACUGGGUGUAAAGGGUGAGUAGGCGGUCAUGCAAGUCAUAUGUGAAAUGUCAGGGCUUAACCUUGGCGCUGCAUAAGAAACUGUAUGACUAGAGUGCAGGAGAGGUAAGCGGAAUUCCUAGUGUAGCGGUGAAAUGCGUAGAUAUUAGGAAGAACACCGGUGGCGAAGGCGGCUUACUGGACUGUUACUGACGCUGAGUCACGAAAGCGUGGGGAGCAAACAGGAUUAGAUACCCUGGUAGUCCACGCCGUAAACGAUGAG
rnacentral:rRNA from 1 species